AGCAGCCGCGGUAAUUCCAGCUCCAAUAGCGUAUAUUAAAGUUGUUGCAGUUAAAAAGCUCGUAGUUGAAUUUCGGGACCAAUCUGCCGGUCGUGCCUCCGGUACGCACUGGUUUUAUUGGUUUCUCCCUUCUGACGAACCACGAUGUCAUUAAUUUGGUGUCAUGGGGAAUCAGGACUGUUACUUUGAAAAAAUUAGAGUGUUUAAAGCAGGCUCACGCUUGAAUACAUUAGCAUGGAAUAAUGAAAUAGGACGUUUGACCCUAUUUUGUUGGUUUCUAGGAUCGACGUAAUGAUUAAUAGGGAUAGUUGGGGGCAUUAGUAUUCAAUUGUCAGAGGUGAAAUUCUUGGAUUUAUUGAAGACUAACUACUGCGAAAGCAUUUUGCCAAGGAUGUUUUUCAUUAAUCAAGAACGAAAGUUAGGGGAUCGAAGACGAUCAGAUACCGUCGUAGUCUUAACCAUAAACUAUGCCGACUAGGGAUCGGAUGAUGUUAAUUUUUUUCAAUGACUCAUUCGGCGC
rnacentral:rRNA from 1 species